AAUGUCGUAACAAGGUUUCCGUAGGUGAACCUGCGGAAGGAUCAUUAUCGAAUUGUAAAUAGGGGGCUUGAUGCUGGCAGCCGAUUUCUUUUGGUUGCAUGUGCUCGUUCCUAACAAUAUUUAUCUAAAAUCACCUGUGCACCUUUUUCGAGGGGGGCUUUUCCAAGCGAGUUGCUGCUUUUUGGCGGUUGUAGCUUCGGAUUUCAAUCCCCCUUCAUCUAUUACAUAUACACUGUUUUACAAUGUUGAACGUGAAUUGUGCCGUUAAAGGCCUAAUAAUCAA
rnacentral:misc_RNA from 1 species